CCAUGAGAAGUGGAUGGUAGACAUGUCCUCCUGCUGGAGAUUUGUCUGUGAGCAGGAGUUAAUGGACUUUACUUAACUUGCUGCAAUUGUGAAAGAACUGGACGAGGUGAAAGAAAUCUGCGAGCUGCAGCGGCGAUGAGUAGCAAACAGCCAAAGAU